rnacentral:rRNA from 1 species
UACGUAGGGUGCGAGCGUUUGUCCGGAUUUAUUGGGCGUAAAGAGCUCGUAGGCGGCUUGUCGCGUCGGGAUGUGAAAAGCCCGGGGCUUUAACUCCGGGUCUGCAUUCGAUACGGGCAGGCUAGAGUGUGGUAGGGGAGAUCGAAUUCCUGGUGUAGCGGUGAAAUGCGCAGAUAUCAGGAGGAACACCGGUGGCGAAGGCGGAUCUCUGGGCCAUUACUGACGCUGAGACGCGAAAGCGUGGGGAGCGAACAGG